UUCCGAUCCCGCCGGUCACUCCACAAACUGGCCGCCGCGGACGAAACAAAGGAGGAAUCCCCCGCCGGGCGCUCCCGGUGCGGAAGUGUGGAGACCUGCCGUAAAGCACAGAGAAUCCCGCUUUCUCUGCUGCGAGAAUGGUCGUGCGAAGGCAGACCGCUCAGAGCGAUGAUAAUGGCU
ncrna:unclassified sequences malK-I RNA